rnacentral:rRNA from 1 species
AUUGAACGCUGGCGGCAUGCCUUACACAUGCAAGUCGAACGGUAACGCGGGGCAACCCGGCGACGAGUGGCGAACGGGUGAGUAACGCACCGGAACGCGCCCAGUAGUGGGGGAUAGCCCGGCGAAAGCCGGAUUAAUACCGCAUACGACCUACGGGUGAAAGCGGGGGAUCGCAAGACCUCGCGCUAUUGGAGCGGCCGAUGUCAGAUUAGGUUGUUGGUGGGGUAAAGGCCUACCAAGCCUGCGAUCUGUAGCUGGUCUGAGAGGGCGACCAGCCACACUGGGACUGAGACACGGCCCAGACUCCUACGGGAGGCAGCAGUGGGGAAUUUUGGACAAUGGGCGCAAGCCUGAUCCAGCCAUGCCGCGUGCGGGAAGAAGGCCUUCGGGUUGUAAACCGCUUUUGUCAGGGAAGAAAAGCUCCGGGCUAAUACCUCGGGGUCAUGACGGUACCUGAAGAAUAAGCACCGGCUAACUACGUGCCAGCCGCCGCCGUAAGAC